UUCUUCCACUUCUUUUUC
rnacentral:sRNA from 1 species